rnacentral:tRNA from 1 species
GCAGGAGUAUCGAAGUAGGUCAAACGAGGGGGACUCAAGAUCCCCUCUCCAAGGAGUUCGUGGGUUCAAAUCCCAUCUCCUGCA